CUGUAUCAAACCAGUAGCUCUUGGUAUUACUAGGUGGCCUUGAAGUAGCUCUCAGUUUCAAAAAGGUCGGUGACCCCUGACCUACGGUAUAGUCCAUCAGGCAACAUAAACACAGUUAUAUUGUUAAACUGUUUGUUUUUGAUGGUGGGAUGAAACCAUCAGAGAACUUGGAGAAGACCCGUGAACUCACAGGAAGAACAUGUCAAGUCCACACAGAAAGACCUGGGAUGGAACCAGCGAUCUGCCGGCUGUGAGGCUGGACCACUGAAGCCAUUUGCUUCACUGUGUAGAUUUUUCUUUUUGAAUAUAUAUUGAUGAAAUGAUCCAACCCAACUCUUCAAGAACGACUGACACAAAGUCCAAGGGCUCUCCGCUAAAGUGAUGCCUUUGUCCCAGGCACUAAAAAAAGUGUAACCUAUCACAUGACACAAACAAACACGACGCGGAUCAAGUUCAUCUGUGAUUUCCUCUGGUCUGUUACCAGGGCUGCUGCACAGAAGAAGAAGAGAGAGACGCAGAAGGACAACAAUGGAGGGAGGAGGAGAUAAACAAGCGGCAUAAAGCAGCUGAGGCGAUGAGUGAAGUAAACAGAAACUUGGCACAGGGCGGACAGAGAUUACUGCAUACCUCACAGGCUGAGUGUCAGAGGGGGGCGAGCCAGCCGAGCAGCUCUGAAGGAACCGGCUCUGCCUGUAGGUCCAGUGUGAACACACACGUGGAGGAGAAUGUCUUCUAAUUACACAGAAGUAAUUCACCCAGGUCCAACAUGUCUCCCUGUGAAAUCAGUGAAAGCAGCUCAACAAUGAGGGUUAAUAUUCCACCUCUACCAGGAAGUCUUUCACAUUAUAGGACACAUGUCCUUGUGCUGCCCCCAGUGGAGAAAAACACAGGGUUGUUUUUGUUACAAAAUAUGUUUCUUGUUAGACUCCUAAUGUAAAUAAAUCAAAGUCAACCCAAAUAAAUGGAGGUCAUAAAAAA